rnacentral:rRNA from 1 species
AACGAACGUUAGCGGCGCGCCUAACACAUGCAAGUCGCACGAGAAAGGGCUUCGGCCCCGGUACAGUGGCGCACGGGUGAGUAACACGUAGGUAAUCUUCCCUAGAGUGGUGGAUAACUCUCCGAAAGGGGAGCUAAUACAGCAUGAGACCACAGCAUCUCCGGAUGCAGCGGUCAAAGCAGGCCUCUACAUGUAAGCUUGCGCUCACGGAUGAGCCUGCGGCCCAUCAGCUAGUUGGGGAGGUAACGGCCCACCAAGGCUAAGACGGGUAGCUGGUCUGAGAGGAUGAACAGCCACACUGGAACUGACACACGGUCCAGACUCCUACGGGAGGCAGCAGUGGGGAAUCUUGCGCAAUGGGCGAAAGCCUGACGCAGCGACGCCGCGUGAGCGAUGAAGGCCUUCGGGUUGUAAAGCUCUGUGGGGAGAGAAGAAUAAGGAUACGCUAACACCGUACUCGAUGACGGUAUCUCCUUAGCAAGCACCGGCUAACUCUGUGCCAGCCGCCGCUGUAAUAC